CACAGCUUAUGACACUGCCCCCCUUGGGUUUAGUGAAGUGUCUCACAUUGAAAAUGUCUCAGUAAGAAGAGGAAGCAUCAUGAAGAGGCUAGCAGGCACUGUGCUGGGGCUUUUGUUUGCCCAGGUUUGCUGUGUGCAAGGGCUGGAUGUGGAGCAGAGUCCCCCAGCCCUGAAUCUCCAGGAGGGAGCCAGCCACGUGCUGAGGUGUAAUUUUUCUGCCUCUGUGAACAAUGUACAGUGGUAUCUUCAGAAACCCAGUGGCCGCCUUAUCCACUUGUUUAACAUUCCUUCAGGAACAAAGCAGAAUGGAAGAUUAAAUGCCACAACAAUCCCUAAAGAACGCCGCAGCUCACUGCACAUUUCCUCUUCGCAGACCACAGACUCAGGCACUUACUUCUGUGCUGUGCAACACAGUGCUCCCCAGGCACCUGCAGCCUCUACACAAACCCUCUGUGGGCUCAGCCCCUCCUCCAGCCACAGUCACACUGUGAGGCCACCACAGGGCAUUUGCAGUGCAGAUUAUUUCUUACCUACACCAGUACAGUUUUAAUCACAGACACUUUUUGGCCCUACAGAUUAUGAAUUUUGGUCUUUAUCUUCCUUUCUCAAUCUACAUUUCCUUCUGCACUAUAGACUUCUAACUUGAAACUAGCAGAAAAGCUGAUAAGAGGACAAAAAUAAAAUAAAUAUUUAACCACCGUAUGCUGAACUGAAAAAUGGUAAAAAGUGAAAAGAAUUCAAAGAAAAAAAUAUAACUCCAAUAAAGUUGUUAUCCUGAUUAGUUAGAUGACUCAAGAAUGUUCAGAUC